rnacentral:ncRNA from 1 species
AGGGUAGAGGCGCGGGCCCACAUCAGUAACCGACGCUGAGGGCAGAAUCUGGCGUCAGGCCAAAGGGUGAACCCGCCGAAGUUCGAUUUCGUUCUGCCACGGUAUCGAGCUGGUCCAGUGGAUAAGAUCCUCUGGGCUGUCACGACGGGAAGUCCCGCGUGGAGCGCUCUCUUG